GAUGAACGCUGGCGGCGUGCCUAAUACAUGCAAGUCGAGCGAACAGACGAGGAGCUUGCUCCUCUGACGUUAGCGGCGGACGGGUGAGUAACACGUGGAUAACCUACCUAUAAGACUGGGAUAACUUCGGGAAACCGGAGCUAAUACCGCAUAAUAUAUUGAACCGCAUGGUUCAAUAGUGAAAGACGGUUUUGCUGUCACUUAUAGAUGGAUCCGCGCCGCAUUAGCUAGUUGGUAAGGUAACGGCUUACCAAGGCAACGAUGCGUAGCCGACCUGAGAGGGUGAUCGGCCACACUGGAACUGAGACACGGUCCAGACUCCUACGGGAGGCAGCAGUAGGGAAUCUUCCGCAAUGGGCGAAAGCCUGACGGAGCAACGCCGCGUGAGUGAUGAAGGUCUUCGGAUCGUAAAACUCUGUUAUUAGGGAAGAACAAAUGUGUAAGUAACUAUGCACGUCUUGACGGUACCUAAUCAGAAAGCCACGGCUAACUACGUG
rnacentral:rRNA from 1 species